GCGCUCGUGGCGGAAUUGGUAGACGCACUGCCUUGAGGUGGCAGCGAGUAAAAUCGUGGAGGUUCGAGUCCUCUCGAGCGCACCA
rnacentral:tRNA from 2 species